rnacentral:tRNA from 1 species
GUUUUAGCUCAGCUGGUAGAGCACCUGAUUUGUAAUCAGGGGGUCGGGGGUUCAAAUCCCUUCGCCAGCUCCA